AAGUCAGAUGUGAAAGCCCGGGGCUUAACCUCGGAAUUGCAUUUUGAAACUGGCAGGCUAGAGUCUUGUAGAGGGGGGUAGAAUUUCAGGUGUAGCGGUGAAAUGCGUAGAGAUCUGAAGGAAUACCAGUGGCGAAGGCGGCCCCCUGGACAAAGACUGACGCUCAGAUGCGAAAGCGUGGGGAGCAAACAGGAUUAGAUACCCUGGUAG
rnacentral:rRNA from 1 species